rnacentral:lncRNA from 1 species
CAGAUUCUGGCCAUCAGCUUUUGUGGCACAGACGACUGUGCAAUUAAUGGAAAAUUAAAAACUAAAUAUCCAUUUCUUCUAGGACACGAAGCAGCUGGAAUUGUAGAGAGUAUUGGAAAAGGAGUGAGAAAGGAUGAGAAUAUUUAGAAGAGUCCUUCUCGCUCUGGGAAUACCAAAGGAUCACUUGGGGACCUUGCAGCAGAUUCUCCAGAUAUUUAGAGUCUGUUCCCUGGAAGCAGCUCAUCUUCCUCGGCGGCUGUCCUUUACCCCAAGGCUGUCCUCACCUCCUGUGCUCCUCGGCCAUGCCAAGAGUCUCCAGGCCUCUGCUCCUUUAUUUUUCCAGCUCUGGGGGGAAAUUACCUUUUGCG